GAUAAGGAGCUUGCUCCUUUGACGUUAGCGGCGGACGGGUGAGUAACACGUGGAUAACCUACCUAUAAGACUGGGAUAACUUCGGGAAACCGGAGCUAAUACCGGAUAACAUAUUGAACCGCAUGGUUCAAUAGUGAAAGGCGGCUUUGCUGUCACUUAUAGAUGGAUCCGCGCCGUAUUAGCUAGUUGGUAAGGUAACGGCUUACCAAGGCAACGAUACGUAGCCGACCUGAGAGGGUGAUCGGCCACACUGGAACUGAGACACGGUCCAGACUCCUACGGGAGGCAGCAGUAGGGAAUCUUCCGCAAUGGGCGAAAGCCUGACGGAGCAACGCCGCGUGAGUGAUGAAGGUCUUCGGAUCGUAAAACUCUGUUAUCAGGGAAGAACNNAUGUGUAAGUAACUGUGCACAUCUUGACGGUACCUGAU
rnacentral:rRNA from 1 species